rnacentral:rRNA from 1 species
AUUGAACGCUGGCGGCAUGCUUUACACAUGCAAGUCGAACGGCAGCGCGGGCUUCGGCCUGGCGGCGAGUGGCGAACGGGUGAGUAAUACAUCGGAACGUGCCCAGUAGUGGGGGAUAGCUCGGCGAAAGCCGGAUUAAUACCGCAUACGACCUGAGGGUGAAAGCGGGGGAUCUUCGGACCUCGCGCUAUUGGAGCGGCCGAUGGCAGAUUAGCUAGUUGGUGGGGUAAAGGCCUACCAAGGCGACGAUCUGUAGCUGGUCUGAGGGGACGACCAGCCACACUGGGACUGAGACACGGCCCAGACUCCUACGGGAGGCAGCAGUGGGGAAUUUUGGACAAUGGGCGAAAGCCUGAUCCAGCAAUGCCGCGUGUGUGAUGAAGGCCUUCGGGUUGUAAAGCACUUUUGGCGGGAACGAAAAGGACUGUGCCAAUACCACGGUUCGAUGAUGGUACCCGCAGAAUAAGCACCGGCUAACUACGUG